GUCUCAGGUUAACUGUCAACCGAGAUCGCUUCAUCCAUAUUGUAUUUCAACCUUUCAAAUUCAUCUCAUAGAUUACCCUGGCCAAGGCUUUACUAAAUUAAAAUACAGUGAUACAUCAACUCUAAUAAUCUGGAGGAGACCCAUUUUGAUCCACACACAGACUUGACAAGUACUUGACUGUAUCUAGUAGCCUUCCGUUACUGCAU
rnacentral:lncRNA from 1 species